GCGUAGCUCAGUUGGCAGAGCAUUGGGCUAGUAUACCAAAGGUCGUAGGUUCGAUUCCCACUGGCA
rnacentral:tRNA from 1 species